rnacentral:lncRNA from 1 species
GAUCCAUGUUUUUUAUAGACAACUCUUAUCGCUAGCUGAUCGUUUAUGUAGCAAAUAAAUAGCUAACUAGCUUUGCCAUCUAACGGUAAAAAAUGACACUAAUAGAAGAGAUUUAAAUAGACCACGCCUUCAACGAAGGAGGAGCACUACAUAUUGAAUUUAUCGAUCGAUUGUUAGGCCCAUUUUGAUCGCCACUGUACAGUCAAUGGCGGCAUGGCGGUGACGUGUAUUGUAAGUUUGUAACUUGGAAGUGUAUGCAUGUGUGACUUGAUGUGGCGUUGCAUGUGGGAGGCCCCGUUGGUAAUACUCUGAGUGAUGGUGACAUAUGGUAUCUUACUGACUUCUAUUGGUUUUAUUUGUGGAAAGAAUAUCUUGCGUGGGAGAAUUGGAUCACAAUUGACUAAAUGUAGAAUAAUCGCAAUGUCGUGGUAGUAGUUCACCAGAGAUAUGCCAAUAGGGUUCCCCUAUUGAAAUACUGAUACAGGCCUGUUUUCAAUUUGUAAUGGAUUCGAAGAGGAUAUUGAUGGAGUUUUGGUAUAAAAAAGUAUAAGUACAUGUUCAUUGGAAGGGCAACCAAAGAGUUCCGGAUCCUUUUGCUAUCGCACAAUAUCAUGUGUGUGUAAAACUAAAGACUAAAAGAAGAAGAAGAAGAAUGAUUCAAAAAUUCAGGGAGAGAAUCAUCAAAGAAUUAUACUUCUUUAGAACUUUUUUGGUCGAGACGUUAUGGGUGUCUUAAAGGCACUGAAGGUUGCGUUAGAUGUCAUAAUCCACACAAAAAAAGGAAACGCUGAAAAUCCCAGGUGGCGAUGGGAAUUAGUGGCAAUGUUACGGUGUAGAUAAAUUCAGAAAGUGUGACGCUAGCUGAUGUAAACCGCGCCAGCUGUGCUAUUACUGACUCUGUCUCACUUUGGCCGCCUAGGAAAAGGUUGUGAGAGUAGCAGAAGAAGAGGAAAUUGCAGUAAACCCGGUUUUGAAAGAAGCCAAACAUUCCGAUGAUAUGGGAGCCCAACCUGUGGAAACAAAAACCCUAUGUUUCAGAUAGAAAGCCACGGCCACGCUACUGCCUAUUCGCAUUGUUGGUGUUAAGUGAGAUUGCCGAACUUGUAGCUAUUGUGUAGAACCGAGCUCUGAUCAGACACAACCAAACUGGAAUGAUCUCGUCACCUACGCCCGCUUAACACAGCGUGUGUGCCAUAAUGUCAAUUGUGUUUACUAAAUAUUCGGAAAGGCUGUGCGUGAAUCGGUGACAGACGUUUCACCUACCUACUUAACGAGUAACAUUUUGGCGAUCUUGAGGAAAGCGGAUUAUUUUUCAAAUAAAAUAUUAUGGGAUUCGGGUUGCAAAAAAAAGCUAGCACAGAUGCCAAUCGGCUUGAUCCCUUCCACUUUGAUUGUGAUUCGAGUCAACGCACUCCAUCAUUCCAGUGAUCAGUCGUUUUUUGAUCAUUCUUUUCUCAGGAUUUUAUGACUGGACUUCCUGCAAUUCCUAAUAUCCAUUUGCCCCAAGAGGUUGUAGCCAAGAUGGUUGAAGCCGUCUUAACUGUUUCAGGAAUUUUCAGGGUCUUGUAUGAUCUAACGGCUAAACCACCCUGGAAAACGGAGUUGAUUUGAUUUAAGAACGUUGCUUAUGCAAAUAAUCUCCGCCACUCUUUACAGGACACGGAAGCGGAAUUGUAUCACUGACCAGAUUUAGAUGGGAUAUAUCAUAAUAGUGGAUUCAGUAUAGACUUUUGAAAUUGAAAAAUUAGUCAGCUCUGUCGUCUCGUGAAAAUCUAUUAAACUCGCUUCUUAGGAAAAAUUCA